AAUGAUUUUAAAAGAAACUUGUUUCAUUUUUUAUUUUAUUUAUCAUAGAUUUUUGGGUCACACUCCAGCCCUUUCUCCAAAUGCUGCCGGGAACAAAACGUCUUCAGUCGUUUCGAAGCCGCAAAAUAACACGAGGAGAACGAACAACCGUGACGUGUUACCCGAGCUCCUGUAAAGUGAAAUUUGAUUGGUCACGUUCUGCAACGCGACCAAUCAGCUGUCAAGUUACAGCGCUCCGCGCCGCCAUGACGCAGUCUGUUUGAAAACAAUGGCGGCACGGAGCGUUAGGUCCGAAGAUAAAGACGGAAAAAAGAAUAAAAGUUGACCGUAGGAGACAUGGACACCCUCUAGUAAGCGAGGCUGACCGCGUCCUCACAGCGAAAAGACCUCAGAGGAUCCGGGAGUUGGCGGCAGUGACCCGGCCGAGCCGAUAAGUUCAGGAAAAGAGUCUUCAUCUGAAGCGAUUGAAACAGAAUCACAUAGGCUGGACGACGUGGAAAAAACCAAGAAGCUACAAGAACACCGGAUACGACCCCCCCUCGAAGUUUCCAUUCUUGUCCAUCACAAACACAAGAACCUCGGAGAGCAGCUCCAGUGGAAGGUCGGGGCAGAUGACAACUUCAGAAUACCGCACAAUGAGGAGAUGAUGGCAGCAGUGAAAGAUGUGGAACCAAAUUGGAGUUUCCACCAAGUUAGAAGAGCUUGCAAUCAAGCUAUUGACAGUCUCAAGUGCAAAGAGAGAGAAUGGAGAUAGAAGCAAGGAGGAGGUCAAAAGGAGGACCAGUCAGCAUGAUCAGCUCUUCAAAAAGAGGGUCAAAAUUGCUGAGAAGAUUCUCAAUGAAGAGGAUCUGUCAUAAAUAAAAAGAGCCAAUGCAAACUAUGUCAGCAACGAGGAAAGUGACGAGGACAAACCAUCUUAUUAUCAAGCCUCGCCAAAGUGGCGCUCCACUAGGCUAACCAUGGUGAUGCUGAAAUGCCAUAAAGCCUGGGAUGAAAACUGGAGGAGUGGAAUUGAGCCAAAAUUACGCACGAGACACUCAGCUGGCUUUACUGAAGGAAACCCACCACCAGUCAAGAGCUGCUAUCUGGCAGAAGAGAAAAAAAGGAUGCAUGUUUGUUUGUGGUUUUUGACUUAUUUAUUUAUUUUGUAAUAAAAUAUUUUUGAGUAAUACCGGUUUUCUGUUACCUUUCAUUUAUUAUAUAUUUUUGAGAUGACUGGUAUCUUGAAAUAUCCUGACUUACAUCACUAGUGUUUGUUCUUCAGAUAUGUCUGCUGGCCACAUGUUCCAAAUCCUAAAUUCAGAUAUGACUGGUAUACGGAUAUCAGAUAUCAACAGAUAUGACAUGGAGAGAAUCUGGAAAUAUCCUGAACUCAGAUAUCAAUGGUGUUGGUUCUUCAGAUAUGCCUGCUGGCCAUAUGUUCCAAAUCCUAACUUCAGAUAUGACUAGUAUACGGACAUCAGAUAUCAACAGAUAUGACAUGGAUAGAAUCUGGAAAUAUCCUGACCUUGGAUAUCACAAGUGACGCAUCUCAUAUCUGGAGAGAAUCUCAUCUCCAGAUUCUAUCAGAAUAAAAGUGUCCCAUACUCGGAGUUGAUAUGCUCAGGACAUGAACUUAGAGACAGUCAUGUCCGGAGAGUAUCCACCGUAGAUAUCACCAGAUAUGGGGUAUUUCUGAGGAUAUCCAGACAAAUAUAUGUCCUGAUUCUGGGGGCUUUUGCGCAGUGUUGGGUUCUUUCCCUUGGACAUUCCGUCACACACCUUUGAGGUAAUCCAAAAAAAACUGUAUUAGAGUUGUAAGGCAAAGUGGUGUCUAAGGUUUCAGGCUUAAAGAUCCGACUCUUUGAAUAAAAUGACCUUUAAAUAGUUUAACUUUUUCCUAAGAAGGGAUUCCAGCUGUUUGCUUUGGCUCUGUUAUCUUCUGUUUAAUAAAAAUAGCAAGCCCAA